rnacentral:misc_RNA from 1 species
GGACAAUGUAGUAGAAUAGAUGCUGUAUAAAAAAAAUGGUGAAAUAUAUUAUGGUGAAAAGAGACAGUAAUGGAUCAAUACAUGAAACCAUUUAUUAUUGUUCCAUUGCAAAUAGUGCAUUUGGUAUAGCAUUUAGUAUAAACGUUAUUUUAUGAAGUCUAUGUACUGGAUUUAUUGUGUAUUUGUUAUAUAGUUCACACAAUUCAACACUUAAAUUAAAAUGUUGAACUAUCCAUAUACUGACUACACUAAGAAUUUUUACUGCUGUGCUGAAUUUUAUAACCAAUUCUCGCAGAUUUAUAUAAGUAAAUAUAUUUUUUCAUAUGUUUGUUCUUUACCAUUUUUAUUUAAGGAAUAAGUCCCUUGGGCUUUAUUAGAUCUGAUUACGCCCGACCGAAAUUAUCACCUCAUAAUAGUCAGAGAAUGAUUCCUUAUUACUUAUCUUUAUAUAAUUUUAAGCCAUCAUACGAUUAAGUUUUUAAAUGUAAUUUAAUAAACAAAUCCCGCUGGCGCCUCAAUUUGGCGUCAUUUGAAGGUAUGAGUUAUAAAGUACAUGUACAAAAUUGAUACGUAGUGUUAUCACAGGCAAAUGCAAUAGAAAAUGUAAAUAUUUAUAUAGUACAUAUAUCUUGUUUUCUGACAAUUGUAAAUUUUUGUAGGGUGAGAACUAAGUAAGUUUUGGGAACUUGUGUUCGAAUCCUUUGUACAUUAUAUCUAUAUAUUAUCUACAAUAAAAUAUUUUCAAAC